rnacentral:rRNA from 1 species
CCUACGGGAGGCAGCAGUCGAGAAUCAUUCACAAUGGGGGAAACCCUGAUGCAGCGACGCCGCGUGGGUGAAGAAGCGCCUCGGCGCGUAAAGCCCUGUCAGCAGGGAAGAAAAGGACGGUACCUGAAGAAGAAGCCCCGGCUAACUACGUGCCAGCAGCCGCGGUAAUACGUAGGGGGCAAGCGUUAUCCGGAUUUACUGGGUGUAAAGGGGGCGCAGACGGCGAUGCAAGCCAGGAGUGAAAGCCCGGGGCCCAACCCCGGGACUGCUCUUGGAACGGCGGGGCUGGAGUGCAGGAGGGGCAGGCGGAAUUCCUGGUGUAGCGGUUAACUGCGUAGAUAUCAGGAGGAACACCGGUGGCGCAGGCGGCCUGCUGGACUGCAACUGACGUUGUGUCCCGAACGCGUGUGGAGCAAAC